CUCCAAAAAAGCAGAGAACGGUGAGCUGAGCUGGGCCUGCUGCCAGUCUGCAUUCCAACCUUGAACACUGAAAAAGCUCUCCCACUUCCUCCUGAUAUGACCGCAGAUGUCUCCUUCAGCCCGCCGUGAUCUUUAGUUUCCUCGCCCUCCGGCGUCUCAGCUCUUCAUUUUUGCCACUAAACACCUGACUUUCAGGUGAUUUCAGAUCUGUCACGCUGCCGUGUGAGAAGCAGAAGCAGUUUCAUGAGAACAUCCGCUUCUUGCCAUGAUUUCCUCCUUUCUGCCCAAGUUAUCAAUAAACUCGAAUGACGAGAAGGUGCAGCGAAUCAAAAAGGUGAGUCACUGCCGCUGCUCCAUUAGGGGUUUUGCUCUGCAACACAUUAACCAGCCACCAGCAGGCAUUCGGUGGCUGCAGAAUCCAGUCGUUCCAGUCCAGCCAGUUGCAGAUAGCAGGGUGCAGGUGAAAGAAGACAGGGAGGGACCUAUCACAGCCGAGAGAGGAGAGGAGGAGAAAGGAGAGAGAAACCAAAGAUGAGUGCGUGAAUCAAAAUGGACCCAACCAAACACAGCUAUUCCUCAAAAGUCCUGUAUGCAAACAGUGGAGGUGGAACGGAUCCACCCACGGAGGAGAUGGUGCAGAGUUUUGAUUCUGUGAAUGGAGAGAUGCAGGCGGAUGCAGAAAGCAGAGAACUGGAGGUGGUUGAUGGCAAAACAGCUGCAGAUACCAUCCUCUACCACAAGGGGUCAGCAGAGAAAAACAAGUCCAAUACGUUCAAAACUCAGGUCUUAACUAUUCUAAUAUUACUUCUGUGUGUCACAAAAAAUGUAUGAUCUUUCACUGAAAUGUAUAUGCAUAUUGUCUAAUAUAAAUAUUAACUGUUUUUAAUCUAUGAAUGAAUUGCUGUUUGCACAUUUCAUUUUUUUGUAGAAAAUAGAAAAAAAAUAGGUUAUCUUUCACUUUGAGUCAACUGAUUUCUUAAACAUUGAGAGCCACAAAAAAGUGUUUUUUUUUUUU
rnacentral:lncRNA from 1 species